ACUUUCUUGUCGGGGUGCUCCGUAUCUGUUUGCGGGGCUGAGAAAUACCCGCCGACCUGAUCCGGUUAGUACCGGCGUAGGGAACGAGAGCUCUUCACUU
rnacentral:ncRNA from 2 species